UAGAGUUUGAUCCUGGCUCAGAGCGAACGCUGGCGGCAGGCCUAACACAUGCAAGUCGAGCGCCCAGCAAUGGGAGCGGCAGACGGGUGAGUAACGCGUGGGGAUCUACCCAUUGGUACGGAAUAACUCAGGGAAACUUGGACUAAUACCGUAUAAGCCCUUCUGGGGAAAGAUUUAUCGCCAAUGGAUGAACCCGUGUCUGAUUAGCU
rnacentral:rRNA from 1 species